rnacentral:rRNA from 1 species
GACGUGGGGGGCCAGCGUUGCUCGGAAUUACUGGGCGUAAAGGGUCCGUAGGCGGUGCGGUAAGUCGGAAGUGAAAUCUCUGGGCUUAACUCAGAGGCUGCUUUCGAAACUGCCGUGCUAGAGUGCGGGAGAGGCGAGUGGAAUUGCAGGUGUAGCGGUGAAAUGCGUAGAUAUCUGCAGGAACACCCGUGGCGAAGGCGGCUCGCUGGACCGCAACUGACGCUGAGGAACGAAAGCUAGGGGAGCAAACAGG